ACCCAUAGGCUGCUUCCGAAACUGCUGUGCUUGAGUGUGGGAGAGGCGCGUGGGAUUGCAGGUGUAGCGGUGAAAUGCGUAGAUAUCUGCAGGAACACCCGUGGCGAAAGCGGCGCGCUGGACCACAACUGACGCUGAGGAACGAAAGCUAGGGGAGCAAACAGGAUUAGAUACCCGGGUAGUCCUAGCCCUAAACGAUCAGGACUUGGGGUGCCUUCCGUUCGGAAGUCGUCCCGGAGCUAACGCGUUAAGUCCUGCACCUGGGGAGUACGGUCGCAAGACUGAAACUCAAAGGAAUUGACGGGGACCCGCACAAGCGGUGGAUGAUGUGGAUUAAUUCGAUGCAACGCGAACAACCUUACCUACCCUUGACAUGUCCGGAAGCCCGCUGAGAGGUGGGUGUGCCCGAAG
rnacentral:rRNA from 1 species